CUGAUUCAGGGGGAGAGUGUGUGUGUGCGUGCGUUCACGCGCGCGCCGCCGCGCCGCCCCAACCAAUCUUUUGUGCACGGUUUCACGGUCAACGAGAGACGCCGCGCGUGUGUUGGCAAGUCAAGUGUCCCCGUCCCCCCUCCCCCCAGUGUGGGGGUGGUGUGGGGUGGGUGAGUGACUUCUUGCCAACCGCAUGCGUCUGUGCGCGUUCUCUACGCUUACACAAUCUCUUGUGCAAUCUCUGUCUAACGCGUACCUAAAUAUUAUUAACACAUA
rnacentral:misc_RNA from 1 species